rnacentral:SRP_RNA from 2 species
AUUGGGCUGGGUUCGGUAUGGCUCUUUACUGGCCUUCCCAUUCCAAGUCAGUUGAGUGUCCGGACUCGAGCGAAGGCUUGCGGUUCAGGCUCUCUUAGAGCGGAGAAGACUGUGAGCCUCGUUUCACAGAGCAGCGUCUAUCUCCCGCUUUCGACGGUGGAAGGAUUACGGGCUGUUGCCUCCCGAACCCACUAUGACCCAAU